rnacentral:rRNA from 1 species
CAUGCAGUCGAACGAUGAAAGAGGAGCUUGCUCCUCUGGAUUAGUGGCGAACGGGUGAGUAACACGUGAGCAAUGUGCCCUUGACUCUGGAAUAAGCGCUGGAAACGGCGUCUAAUACCGGAUACGACCCUCGGAGGCAUCUCCAGGGGGUGGAAAGAACUUCGGUCAAGGAUCAGCUCACGGCCUAUCAGUUAGUUGGUGAGGUAACGGCUCACCAAGACGACGACGGGUAGCCGGCCUGAGAGGGUGACCGGCCACACUGGGACUGAGACACGGCCCAGACUCCUACGGGAGGCAGCAGUGGGGAAUAUUGCACAAUGGGCGCAAGCCUGAUGCAGCAACGCCGCGUGAGGGACGACGGCCUUCGGGUUGUAAACCUCUUUUAGCAGGGAAGAAGCGAAAGUGACGGUACCUGCAGAAAAAGCACCGGCUAACUACGUGCCAGCAGCCGCGGUAAUACGUAGGGUGCAAGCGUUGUCCGGAAUUAUUGGGCGUAAAGAGCUCGUAGGCGGUUUGUCACGUCUGCUGUGAAAUCCCGAGGCUCAACCUCGGGCUUGCAGUGGGUACGGGCAGACUAGAGUGCGGUAGGGGAGAUUGGAAUUCCUGGUGUAGCGGUGGAAUGCGCAGAUAUCAGGAGGAACACCGAUGGCGAAGGCAGAUCUCUGGGCCGUAACUGACGCUGAGGAGCGAAAGCAUGGGGAGCAAACAGGCUUAGAUACCCUGGUAGUCCAUGCCGUAAACGUUGGGAACUAGAUGUGGGGACCAUUCCACGGUCUCCGUGUCGUAGCUAACGCAUUAAGUUCCCCGCCUGGGGAGUAC